AGCUGUCAGAGAGUCCCUCUCCAGUAACCUGCCCUUUUUUCUUCUCUUCUGUGCUGGGUGGGAACCAGUGGCUGUUGGACAGCAGCUAAGAGCCCAACACAUGUGCUCUUCUGAGAACCAGGGAACGCAAUGCAUUGAGAUUACUUUAUUGGCCACUCUUAAGUCUUUUUAAGUGUGAUUCUAGGGCUGCAAGGAGAUGAAGAUAUCAACAAGUGAGGAGAAGGUUGGUAUUAUACACAUGAUGGCCUGGCCAAUGUGAACCUUGCCCACUGGGCCCUGGGGCUUCCCAAUGGUGAUCCAUAUACCUCUCUGAAGCCUAGACUGGUGACAAGAUGAGAUAAGCGACAUGACUAUUCACCAGAAAGUUCAGUCCCCAAGGUCUCUUAGAGAAACCCCUAUAUACAACCUCCCAAGAAGCAUACUGUUUGCAGUCACUGCACAGCACGCUCCAAGGGGAAAGGGACUUAGUUUAAUUGGAUACAGAUUUUUAAACAAGGUAAUUGCUAUCUUUCAAUAAUAUCUGAAAUAUUGAUAUUUGAUUGAAUAUUGAUCCAAAAAUACCUUUAUACAACAGUAUCCCUGUGGGUAACUGUUACAGAAAUAAAUCUAAUAGUAAUGAUGCCA
rnacentral:lncRNA from 1 species